rnacentral:rRNA from 1 species
CACGCCGUAAACGAUGAUCACUCGAUGUGUGCGAUAUACUGUACGCGUCUGAGCGAAAGCAUUAAGUGAUCCACCUGGGGAGUACGUUCGCAAGGAUGAAACUCAAAGGAAUUGACGGGGGCCCGCACAAGCGGAGGAGCAUGUGGUUUAAUUCGAUGAUACGCGAGGAACCUUACCUGGGCUUAAAUGGGAAAAGACAGCCGCCGAAAGGUGGUCUUCCGCAAGGACUUUUUUCAAGGUGC